rnacentral:lncRNA from 1 species
CUGAGUACAAUCAGCUUUGUUUGGAGACUCAACAGAGUUUAGACAUCCCUGCACCUCAACAUUUGCUGCAGUCAUCUUGUUUCUUGUGAACUUGAAGUCUGGUGGGAAUCCAUGGAGUUUGUAGCACUUGUCAAUCAUAUGACCAGGCUUCUUGCAGUAUCUACACACUAAAUUUGUCUUGUUGAUAUCAAAACUGACUCUCUGAUUGAAUUGCUUAGAAUGAGCAGGUGUCCCAAGGAAUUUGUUGAUGAACUAAGUGUUAAAAGCACUGGAG